UCCGCCAGGGGACUACAAGCACAGCUUAAAACCCAAAGGACUUGGCGGUGCCUCAGACCCACCUAGAGGAGCCUGUUCUAGAACCGAUAACCCCCGUUAAACCUCACCACCCCUUGUUUUCCCCGCCUAUAUACCGCCGUCGUCAGCUUACCCUGUGAAGGAUUAAAAGUAAGCAAAAUGGGCCCAACCCAAAACGUCAGGUCGAGGUGUAGCGCACGAGGUGGGAAGAAAUGGGCUACAUUUUCUACCACAGAACAUUACGAAUGGUGCCCUGAAACAUGGAGCCUGAAGGAGGAUUUAGUAGUAAAAAGCAAA
rnacentral:rRNA from 1 species